GGGAUUACAGGUGUGAGCCACCACAACCAGCCACUCAGCCACUUUUCUGAACCUGCACCCUGCCCUGUUCAUACACAUGGUCUGGAUAUCCAGAAAUACGUGAAAGCACUUGAAAACCUUUAUUUCUCCAAAGCAUCUCACUCCUCAGCCUUUCCUCCCAGGCUUUUUGGUGUGUCUAUUGUUUGCUCCAACUUAUAUCAUUUGCCCUAAGUGGUAGUCAGUGGUUCAUUUGACUUUAAAUAUUUUUGACCAACACCCUCUGUGUUGGUCAACUCUCCACCCUCAGAGAGUUCUGAGCUAUUUCUUCACCCUGAGAGAGUUCUGAGUUAGAGCAAAUAAAGGCAGUCUUUGUAUUAGUCCUUCAAAAAGCCACCUGAGAGACAACCACGAUUCUUUGAAAACAAGAUUGACUUUGGUUCCUCCGAUAUCUGGAACCCACGGGAAUGUGAACUGUUAUCUUCAACAGCAUCACCAUGACUGGGAGGGAUAAU
rnacentral:lncRNA from 1 species